AAUGUGUGUGUGUAUAUAUAUGUGUGACAAAUAAGAACACAUAUUAACUAAAAUUAGUUGUUACCACUAAAAAUAGUCGAAAAAGGAUAAGGAUUUUGGCGCAAAUGGUAAGUAAUAUACCGGAAAUAAAAUAGGUACGAAGAGAAAAAGUAGAAACAUACACUUUGAUGCCGUAAGAGCAAAAGAAGCUGAAGAACUCGCUGCAGAAAGAAAGAGAUACGAAGGAGCAAACUAGCGCAGA
rnacentral:lncRNA from 1 species